rnacentral:rRNA from 1 species
CGGAGGGUGCAAGCGUUAUCCGGAUUUAUUGGGUUUAAAGGGUGCGUAGGCGGUAUUUUAAGUCAGUGGUGAAAACCUGCAGCUUAACUGUAGAAUUGCCAUUGAAACUGAAGUACUUGAGUUAUCUUGAGGUAGGCGGAAUGCGUAGUGUAGCGGUGAAAUGCUUAGAUAUUACACAGAACACCGAUUGCGAAGGCAGCUUACUAAGGAUAUACUGACGCUCAGGCACGAAAGCGUGGGGAUCGAACAGGAUUAGAUACCCUGGUAGUCCACGCCGUAAACGAUGAUGACUCGCUGUUGGCGAUACACAGUCAGCGGCUUAGCGAAAGCGUUAAGUCAUCCACCUGGGGAGUACGCUCGCAAGAGUG